rnacentral:tRNA from 1 species
GCCCGAGUGGUGGAAUGGAAGACACGGAGGACUCAAAAUCCUCUGCCCCUCGGGGCGUGCGGGUUCGACUCCCGCCUCGGGCA